GACGAACGCUGGCGGCGUGCUUAACACAUGCAAGUCGUACGGUAAGGCCCUUUCGGGGGUACACGAGUGGCGAACGGGUGAGUAACACGUGCGUAACCUUCCCACAACUUUGGGAUAACGCUAGGAAACUGGUGCUAAUACUGGAUAUGUGCUCCUGCUGCAUGGUGGGGGUUGGAAAGCUCCGGCGGUUGUGGAUGGGCUUGCGGCCUAUCAGCUUGUUGAUGGGGUAGUGGCCUACCAAGGCGGCGGCGGGUAGCCGGCCUGAGAGGGUGACCGGCCACAUUGGGACUGAGGUACGGCACAGGCACCUACGGGAGGGAAAAGUGGGGAAUCUUGAAGGAUGGGCGCAAGCCGAAUGCAGAAGCGCCGCGUGCGGGAUGACGGCCUUAGGGUUGUAGAACGCUUUCAGCAGGGACGAAGCUUUUUGUGACGGUACCUGCAGAAAAAGCACCGGCUAACUACGUG
rnacentral:rRNA from 1 species